UACGUAGGGUGCAAGCGUUGUUCGGAAUCAUUGGGCGUAAAGCGCGUGUAGGUGGUUAGGUAAGUUAGGUGUGAAAGCCCUCGGCUCAACCGAGGAAGUGCAUCUAAAACUACCUAGCUAGAGGACGGUAGAGGAAGGUGGAAUUCCUAGUGUAGAGGUGAAAUUCGUAGAUAUUAGGAGGAAUACCGGUGGCGAAGGCGGCCUUCUGGGCCGUUCCUGACACUGAGACGCGAAAGCGUGGGGAGCAAACAGG
rnacentral:rRNA from 1 species